rnacentral:rRNA from 1 species
AUUGAACGCUGGCGGAAUGCUUUACACAUGCAAGUCGAACGGCAGCACGGACUUCGGUCUGGUGGCGAGUGGCGAACGGGUGAGUAAUGUAUCGGAACGUACCCAGUCGUGGGGGAUAACGUAGUGAAAAUUACGCUAAUACCGCAUACGAUCUAUGGAUGAAAGCGGGGGAUCGCAAGACCUCGCGCGAUUGGAGCGGCCGAUAUCAGAUUAGGUAGUUGGUGGGGUAAAGGCCCACCAAGCCAACGAUCUGUAGCUGGUCUGAGAGGACGACCAGCCACACUGGAACUGAGACACGGUCCAGACUCCUACGGGAGGCAGCAGUGGGGAAUUUUGGACAAUGGGCGAAAGCCUGAUCCAGCCAUUCCGCGUGCAGGAUGAAGGCCCUCGGGUUGUAAACUGCUUUUGUACAGAACGAAAAGGUUUCUACUAAUACUAGGAGCUCAUGACGGUACUGUAAGAAUAAGCACCGGCUAGCUACGUGCCAGCAGCCGCAGUAA